rnacentral:rRNA from 1 species
UACGAAGGGGGCUAGCGUUGUUCGGAAUUACUGGGCGUAAAGGGCGCGUAGGCGGUCCUUCAAGUCAGGCGUGAAAGCCCCGGGCUCAACCUGGGAACUGCAUUCAAAACUGACAAGCUAGAGUAUGGUAGAGGGUGGUGGAAUUUCCUGUGUAGCGGUGAAAUGCGUAGAUAUAGGAAGGAACACCAGUGGCGAAGGCGACCACCUGGACUGAUACUGACACUCAGGUGCGACAGCGUGGGGAGCAAACAGG